rnacentral:rRNA from 1 species
CCUCAGUUCGGAUUGUACUCUGCAACUCGAGUACAUGAAGCUGGAAUCGCUAGUAAUCGCGGAUCAGCACGCCGCGGUGAAUACGUUCCCGGGUCUUGUACACACCGCCCGUCACACCAUGGGAGUCGGUUCUGCCUUAAGUCGUCCAGCUAACCGCAAGGAAGCAGACGCCCACGGCAGGGUCGAUGACUGGGGUGAAGUCGUAACAAGGUAGCCGUAUCGGAAGGUGCGGCUGGAUUACCUCCUUU